CAACAGGGCUCCACGAGAACUCAACAGGAAUUCCAAAGUAGCAGGGGCCAAGGCAGCAGGAGUCUAUAUACAACUGAAUACACAGCCUGUUUCAAUCCAGCAUCAUCCAGUCACAGCAAUUAUACACAGCUUAACUUAAUUAUCAUCAUCUUAAUGGCUCGUGCACUCCUUCUGGCAAAAUGCUAGGCUCCAUCCCGACUCAGCUGUGGCUCUCAACAUCUCCCCACUUCUGUUUAAUUAAACAACAAGCAUGUGGCUUAGGGACCCUGCCUGUCUUAGGUUGUCCAAUACUACAUAUGGUCCUUACCCGUCAUCUGCCAAAUAUGGUUAGGUAUCAGUCCUCUAGGAUUGACUCCAAGAUUAACUUGUGGUAAAAAGGUCACACAAUUUUGACAUUGUUUUAUUAUUUGUCUAGCUUGUUCCUUAGUUAUUUUAAAAUGCUUUUUAAAAGUAUUUGCAUUGACAUGGAAGGAUUUAUGAAAAUUUGGAGCUUCUUCUAGCAUAGAAAAAAAUAUGUAUGUCAUGUGUAGUUUUAUCUGCUAAAUCAUUGCCCAAACUAAGGGCUCCAGGCAAUCCUGUAUGUGCCCUGACAUGUCCUAUAAAGAUUGGAUCUUUUCUGUCUGUCCCAGAUUAGACUUUGUAUAGUGGAAAACAAAGAGAAAACAGUAGAGGAAGGGGAAAUCCUACCGGCAUCUUCAAGGGAUACUAUAGCAUUAACUAUAUACUGACUAUCAGAAAAUAAAUUAAAUACAGAAUCUUUAAACAUCACAAAAGGGCUGGGGAUGUGGCUCAAGCGGUAGCGCGCUUGCGUGGCAUGCGUGCGGCCCGGGUUCGAUCCUCAGCACCACAUACAAACAAAGAUGUUGUGCCCGCCGAUAACUAAAAAAUAAAUAUUAAAAGUUAAAAAAAA
rnacentral:lncRNA from 1 species